AUUACCGCGGCUGCUGGCACGGAGUUAGCCGGUGCUUAUUCAUAAGGUACCGUCAUUAUCUUCCCUUAUAAAAGGAGUUUACACACCGAAAUGCGUCAUCCUCCACGCGGCGUUGCUGCAUCAGAGUUUCCUCCAUUGUGCAAUAUUCCCCACUGCUGCCUCCCGUAGG
rnacentral:rRNA from 1 species